AGAGUUUGAUCCUGGCUCAGAAUGAACGCUGGCGGCGUGCUUAACACAUGCAAGUCGAACGGUAACAGAGGAGCUUGCUCCUGCUGACGAGUGGCGCACGGGUGAGUAAUGCAUAGGUAACGUGCCCCUUAGUCUAGGAUAGCCACUGGAAACGGUGAUUAAUACUGGAUACUCCUUCUUCCUUAAUGGAAGUUGGGAAAGUUUUUCGCUAAGGGAUCGGCCUAUGUUGUAUCAGGUAGUUGGUGAGGUAAUGGCUCACCAAGCCUAUGACACAUAGCGGGUCUGAGAGGAUGAUCCGCCACACUGGUACUGAGACACGGACCAGACUCCUACGGGAGGCAGCAGUGGGGAAUAUUGCACAAUGGACGAAAGUCUGAUGCAGCAACGCCGCGUGGAGGAUGACACAUUUCGGUGCGUAAACUCCUUUUAUAUGAGAAGAUAAUGACGGUAUCAUAUGAAUAAGCACCGCUAACU
rnacentral:rRNA from 1 species